AGAACGUUCCGCCUCAGGUCAGCCGGCAAGAUGGCGGCGGCAGCAUGGCGUCUGAGCCCGCCCGGACGGGCUCCCUGGAGAAUCGCUGGAAGACAGGUGGGCCGCCACAGAGGACAGCCCCAUACACACAGCUUAAAAGGCCUGGAAUCUUCUUCCUGUCUUUCUCCUUUCUUUCUCCCACUACCAGGGCUGGCUGAGGCCGCACAGACGCGCGUGUCUACUACUUCCGGGGCGCCCUGUAGCACUACUUCCGGGGCGCCCGUUUACUUCCGGGGCGCCCGUCCAUCUCCUCAGGGAGCUGUCCAUCCCUCACGAAGGCCAGUUCCCGGGGAGACUCUUCGCCCACCUCCGCUUCUCUGCCGCAGGUCCCGCUCCACAGGGAGGAAAGUCGGGGCGCCCCGGCCCCUCCGACCCGGGAGCCCAGUUCCCCUCUGCUGUCUGUUCCCUGACCGCGUUUCGGCUCCGGCUCUCCCAUCUGGCUCCCAUCCCACGCGGGCAGCUGUUUUUCCCAUCGAAGACAGCACGUUCGCCUCUUUCUUCUCUGCAGGCCGCGCUUCCAGUUCUGAAAUGCUUUUGCAUAUGGACCGAAACCCGCGGGGUGUUUAUGUAUUUAUUUUUCUCCUUCCGUCUUCUUUUCCAGGAAAAGGGGCACCCUGUGUUUUGGGGUUGGAUCCGUGCAGAUUCUUCCAGCAGACUCGGAACCGUGGCAGGGACCGUCUUCCCCCUCCCGGCUGGGAGGAAGUCGCGUGCGUCCGUGAUCCCUGUGCUCUGUGCACGGAGAGACUGUCAGCCAUGGCUGAUAUUCCUGUGUUUCCCCGAAAAUAAGCUCUGCCCAUGAAAUAGGCCCUGGCAAGAUGUCUAAUAAUCCCAGCUUUUCUCGAACAAAACCUUCACAGUGUGUUUCCAGCUCCACUUCCUUCUGCCAUGGAGUGGAAAUUCUGAUGGUUUUCCCCACGGGGAACUUGAUGCAGCCGGCCUGGUUGUAACUGUGGCUGGCCCAGGUGAAGCCUUCUGAAAAACCCACGUUGCUGAGAGAACUUCUGAAACGUAAAAUGUGAAAAGUAUUUUCACAGCGCCGCCCGCAGAGCUCCCAUCCCUGGAUUAUUUAAAAUGCUUUUAGGAAAUGGAACAUUUCUGGGGCCCUUUUUAGGUCAAGAUAAAAGUUGUGUCUUGAGUUCC